CUGAUCUCAAAUCAGGUAGGACUACCCGCUGAACUUAAGCAUAUCAAUAAGCGGAGGAAAAGAAACUAACAAGGAUUCCCCUAGUAACUGCGAGUGAAGCGGGAAAAGCUCAAAUUUAAAAUCUGGCAGUCUUUGAUUGUCCGAGUUGUAUUCUAGAGAAGUGUCUUCCGCGUUGGACCGUGUACAAGUCUCUUGGAACAGAGCGUCRUAGAGGGUGAGAAUCCCGUCUUUGACACGGACUACCAGUGCUUUGUGAUGCGCUCUCAAAGAGUCGAGUUGUUUGGGAAUGCAGCUCAAAAUGGGUGGUAAAUUCCAUCUAAAGCUAAAUAUUGGCGAGAGACCGAUAGCGAACAAGUACCGUGAGGGAAAGAUGAAAAGCACUUUGGAAAGAGAGUUAAACAGUACGUGAAAUUGUUGAAAGGGAAACGCUUGAAGUCAGUCGCGUUAGUCAGAACUCAGCCUUGCUUUUGCUUGGUGCACUUUCUGAUUGACGGGCCAGCAUCAGUUUUGACUGCAGGAGAAAGGUCAGGGGAAUGUGGCAUCUUCGGAUGUGUUAUAGCCUCUGAUUGUAUACUGUGAUUGGGACUGAGGAACUCAGCACGCGCAAGCUGUGCUUAGGAUGCUGGCGUAAUGGCUUUAAACGACCCGUCUUGAAACACGGACCAAGGAGUCUAACAUGCCUGCGAGUAUUUGGGUGGUAAACCCGAGUGCGCAAUGAAAGUGAAAGUUGGGAUCUCUGUCGUGGAGAGCACCGACGCCCGGACCAGACCUUCUGUGACGGAUCUGCGGUAGAGCAUGUAUGUUGGGACCCGAAAGAUGGUGAACUAUGCCUGAAUAGGGUGAAGCCAGAGGAAACUCUGGUGGAGGCUCGUAGCGAUUCUGACGUGCAAAUCGAUCGUCAAAUUUGGGUAUAGGGGCGAAAGACUAAUCGAACCAUCU
rnacentral:rRNA from 1 species